CAGCAGCCGCGGUAAUACAGAGGGUGCGAGCGUUAAUCGGAUUUACUGGGCGUAAAGCGUGCGUAGGCGGCUAAUUGAGUCGGAUGUGAAAUCCCCGAGCUUAACUUGGGAAUUGCAUUCGAUACUGGUUAGCUAGAGUGUGGGAGAGGAUGGUAGAAUUCCAGGUGUAGCGGUGAAAUGCGUAGAGAUCUGGAGGAAUACCGAUGGCGAAGGCAGCCAUCUGGCCUAACACUGACGCUGAGGUACGAGAGCAUGGGGAGCAAACAGGAUUAGAUACCCCCGUAGUCCCUGUCUCUUAUAC
rnacentral:rRNA from 1 species